AUUGAACUCUGGCGGCAGGCUUAACACAUGCAAGUCGAACGAGUGGCGGACGGGUGAGUAAUGCUUGGGAAUCUAGCUUAUGGAGGGGGAUAACUACGGGAAACGGUAGCUAAUACCGCGUACCAUAGGAUGAGCCCAUAUGGGAUUAGGUAGUUGGUGAGGUAAAGGCUCACCAAGCCGACGAUCCGUAGCUGGUCUGAGAGGAUGACCAGCCACACUGGGACUGAGAAACGGCCCAGACUCCUACGGGAGGCAGCAGUGGGGAAUAUUGGGCAAUGGGGGAAACCUGAUGCAGCCAUGCCGCGUGAAUGAAGAAGGCCUUCGGGUUGUAAAGUUCUUUCGGUAGCGAGGCGUUAACUACAGAAGAAGCACCGGCUAACUCCGUGCCAGCAGCCGCGGUAAUUC
rnacentral:rRNA from 1 species